rnacentral:tRNA from 1 species
GGGUGCGUAGCUCAGUGGAUUAGAGUUUCAGAUUCCGAUUCUGAAUGACGAAGGUUCGAUUCCUUCCGUACUCA